AGGAAUAAGCAUUCUGGAUCUGGAAAUGUUACCCGUGAAAGAAUUUUGUGUAACUAGUGUAUACCAAGCUUAUUAUUGUGCAGUUAGUGUACACCAACGUUUAUUUUUUUACUAAUAAGGGUAUAAUCCUAUAUCUUCUUAGCUGCCAAUCAGCUCAACAAACCCAGUAGGGCUUACUUCUGAGACCCCAUUUGGGAUUGGGAUCCACAGAUUAAGAAGCAGUGGGUUAGGUGGCAAUUCUCACUAAACAAAUAAACAAAUGUUGGAUUCUAACAACAUGAGCUGUUCAGAGUGGUGAGAGGCUUAACCCAGGUGCCCUCCUCUCUGAACCCAUUAUUAGAACCUUCAGUGGCUCACGGUGGUGCUUUUAACAACUACUUCAUGGAUAAAAUCUCUUGCAUAAGAGCUGACUAUCAUUGGAGCAGAGGCCAACUUAAAGAGUCCAGUGACUCUGUGAGUGGAAUUACAUUGAAUCUGUUUCAACUGAAGCAAAGAUGAAGUACUUUGGCCACAUAAUGAGAAGACAGGAAAGCUUGGAGAAGAGAAUGAUGCUGGGGAAAAUGGAAGGAAAAAGGAAGAGAGGCCAACCAAGGGCAAGAUGGAUGGAUGGUAUCCUUGAAGUGACUGGCCUGACAUUGAAGGAACUGGGGGUGGUGAAGGCUGACAUGGAGCUCUGGCGUGGGCUGGUCCAUGAGGUCACGAAGAGUUGGAAGCAACUAAAUGAAUAAACAACAACUGUGGAAAACUUUGAACCUGUGUGUGUCCCUUCGCUCAUCAGGGGAAGCUUUCCUGUCCCCACUCCCGAUAUCCCAGACCCGCCUUGUGGGAACAAGGGAGAGGGCCUUUUCUGCUGUGGCCCCCCGAUUGUGGAAUUCUCUGCCGGCGGAGAUUAGGCAAGCCCCCACACUAGCAGCCUUCAAGAAAGAAUUGAAAACAUGGCUCUUUUGCUGCGCUUUUGGAGAGUAACCAUUUUAUAUUUCUUUUCCGUUGCUCCCCCUAAUAUCUAUCCUCCAGAAUACCCCACUCCCUUAUGACCCUGUUCGAUGUGGUUUUUAUUUUUAUGUCUUUCUCACCUCGAGUUUUAACUUAAUGUUCAUGUGGUCUGCCCUUGUUUUUAUUGUCUCCUUGUUUUAUUUUGUAAUGGAUAUUAUUUACUGUAUUGUUUAUUGUUUUGUGUUGUGCUGUUCUUUUAUAUACUGUUUACAUUAUAUUGUUUUGGGCGUGGCCCCAUGUAAGCCGCCCCGAGUCCCCAUUGGGGAGAUGGUGGCGGGGUAUAAAUAAAGUAUUAUUAUUAUUA